rnacentral:lncRNA from 1 species
UGGUUGGGUUAUGAAGAGUCUCUAUGAGGGGACAGGGAGAGACAGGCUGACCUUCUGAGGUACAAGACAUACUAGGUACUAAGCAUAGGGGACAGCAACAUAAACCUGAAGGACUUAGAAAGGGGAACUCUGAGCUAUCAUGAAGGGAGCAAAAAUGAGACUAUCCCUGCAAAUAGCUUAGAAGGAGCCUCUGAGAUUCUGUGCCAAAGCCAAAGAAGCAUCUAUUAAGCAUCUUCUAUGUGCCAGGCACUAUGCUAAAUAAUCACUUUGCAAUUCAAUCCUCACAACAUAGAAGAUAGAAACAAAACAACCAAAAACCAUGUAACAGAUAUGCAGAAUGAAGCAAAAGAAAUUCUUGCAUUGGCCACAUCUAUACUCUGAGGUAUCAUCUCUGGCAGAAAAUCAAAGAAGGUCAGCAACAUCUCUUCUGGAAUCAUGAUUGACCAGUACUUUUGUGAUAAAGGAUGGAAAAGUUUUCAAUUUGAAAAACUGUGCAAGAACUGAAAAGUACAAGCCUAGGUAUGAUUGAUAGUGGCAUGUGACCAAAGGUCACGUGGGAGUCUGAGGGG